rnacentral:piRNA from 1 species
CAUUUUUAACCGAGUCUGCCU